rnacentral:lncRNA from 1 species
ACUCCAGAUUCUUCUCCAUCCACACUGUCUCCUUUCUCCAGGGAGCUCACAGGCUCUUCCAGGCCACCCAAAUGGUUCAGUCGCUGAAAAGCAUGGAAGGAAUUCAGGUGGAACCUGCAAGAAAGAGGACAAAAGACUGAUGAAGUUUCCUCCCUGCCCUGGCUGUGCACAAAAAAGUGAGAGAAGAAAAGCAGCCAGAUGUGAGAGCAUUUUGAAGGU